UUGCAGUUAAAAAGCUCGUAGUCGGAUUUUGGCAUCACGCCGAACUGUCAGCCGAUUGGUUUGUACGGUUUGGCGGGUGCUCUCCUUCCGGAAGCUCGUUCCCUUCUUAGUUGACGGGUUCGAUGGUUCCGGGUCUUUUACUUUGAAAAAAUUAGAGUGUUCAAAGCAGGCCUAUGCUCUGAAUAGGUUAGCAUGGAAUAAUAGAAUAGGACUUUGGUUCUAUUUUGUUGGUUUCUAGGACCGAAGUAAUGAUUAAUAGGGACAGUUGGGGGCAUUCAUAUUCCAAUGUCAGAGGUGAAAUUCUUGGAUUAUCGGAAGAUGAAUUUCUGCGAAAGCAACUGCCAAGGAUGUUUUCAUUGAUCAAGAACGAAAGUUAGGGGAUCGAAGACGAUCAGAUACCGUCGUAGUCUUAACCAUAAACUAUGCCGACUAGGGAUCUGGAGGCGUUAUUUUAUACGACCCUUCAGGCACCUUAUGAGAAAUCAAAGUCUAUGGGUUCCGGGGGGAGUAUGGUCGCAAAGCUGAAACUUAAAGGAAUUGACGGAAGGGCACCACCAGGAGUGGAGCCUGCGGCUUAAUUUGACUC
rnacentral:rRNA from 1 species